AGUAAGAGGUGAUCUUGAAACUUAAAAUAUUUGGCGGUUUUCCAGUCUGGUUAGAGGAAUUUGUUCUGUAAUCGAUGGUCCUCGGUAGAUUUAACUUUUAAUUUAAAUAUCGCCGUCGACGACAGGUCAAGAUUUAGCUUAUGUAAGAGGUUGAAAGUGGAUUUAAAAGUAUAGUGGUAAAUUGGGCUCUGGGGAAUGU
rnacentral:rRNA from 1 species